ACAGUAAUGUGUAACCUGGACGCACAUUCAGGAAGUGUUUAUUUGAGCGAGUUCAGGGGCGUAAAGACGCGCCGCCCAGAUUUACACCGUGAUAAUAAAAGCUCCUUCUUCCUGUCGAAAGUCCGAUCCUCCGACAGUUUAUAUAUCCAGACAAACUUUGAUUUUGACGCCGUUAACAGUUUCAGCUCCGAGACGCGCGGAGCGUCACGUGCGGUUAAAGGCAGACUGUAAGUCAGCCGGCAUUGCCACACCUGAGGUCAAUGAACUCCUGACGGCGAUGUUUUUAAACAGGUGUUUGUGCUGCAGAUCCCAGCAGACUCACACCCCCGUGGGUAGGCUGCCAUAGUGCCUGUCUAUAAGAAUAGUCUGGUGGAGGCGUUGCUGUCUCGUCUUGAAAACAAGGUACGUGGAGCAGGGUCAUACCUUGUCCAGCAGUGUGUUUUGCCACAUGCGGAAAACACCCUGGUAACUUUUCUCUCUUGCAGAGAAGGAUGUGAAGAAGAACUGCAGAUCUGGAUGGCAUUGGGAAUCAGACGAGCGGUUUUCUCUCUGGUCAUCGCCGUGAUGUCUUUAAGAGUCAGUGUAAUCUAUAAAAAAAACAAAAACGCACA